UACUUUGAAUGUCAAAUGAAAUGAACAGAAUAAUGCAUUAGAUUGAUAUUUUUAUCUUUGUUCAUCCAUGUGCAGCAAAAUCUGGAGCAGAGGAGAAGCAGACAGAGCCAGACAGAGACACAAGAGAGAUCAGAAACCGAGCUGAAAUACAGAGACCGGGCCGCAGAAAGGAGAGAAAAAGGGGCCGUCCCACAAGCACCAGAUGCAAAAAAGAGGAGAUUCAGCCCUGUCAGUGGCGUGGGAUCUCAGAUGCUUCCUGGAAGAAUGGAAAAGGGCUUUUUCAUCCGGAACCUGCCAGUGGAAUAAUGGUGGAUGUCUUUGGACUUCCUUCAGUGCUAAACGAAAUGCCUCGGGAGCAGUUUUUAAUCAUAUGGUGCAGAGCACGUGCGCAAUGCAAAGAGACCAUCUCCAGGAUAUUUGACAAACAGUAGAAUGAUGUGGAAAUGUGCAGAUUUAUAUAUAUAUAUUUGUGUGUGUGUGUUACUUUUUGGGAUUCAGGUUGAUUUAAAGAAAAACCCUCAGGACCCUGAGAAAUACGAAAAAGCUACUAUUGAUAGCACAGUUACUGUAAAUAUGAUCCAACUAUGUUACAUUCUUGUACUUUAUCCCAUUGUCAGCUUCCCAGAAAGCAAUUUGAAAACAUUUGUAGAUGGCAUGAGUUUAUGUGACGCAUUUUGCGUUUCUGGGAAGCUGU